UGGGGAAUAUUGCACAAUGGGCGCAAGCCUGAUGCAGCCAUGCCGCGUGUGUGAAGAAGGCCUUCGGGUUGUAAAGCACUUUCAGCGGGGAGGAAGGCGAUAAGGUUAAUAACCUUGUCGAUUGACGUUACCCGCAGAAGAAGCACCGGCUAACUCCGUGCCAGCAGCCGCGGUAAUACGGAGGGUGCAAGCGUUAAUCGGAAUUACUGGGCGUAAAGCGCACGCAGGCGGUUUGUUAAGUCAGAUGUGAAAUCCCCGGGCUCAACCUGGGAACUGCAUCUGAUACUGGCAGGCUUGAGUCUCGUAGAGGGGGGUAGAAUUCCAGGUGUAGCGGUGAAAUGCGUAGAGAUCUGGAGGAAUACCGGUGGCGAAGGCGGCCCCCUGGACGAAGACUGACGCUCAGGUGCGAAAGCGUGGGGAGCAAACAGG
rnacentral:rRNA from 1 species